rnacentral:rRNA from 1 species
UAACACGUGGGUAACCUGCCUGUAAGACUGGGAUAACUCCGGGAAACCGGGGCUAAUACCGGAUGGUUGUUUGAACCGCAUGGUUCAAACAUAAAAGGUGGCUUCGGCUACCACUUACAGAUGGACCCGCGGCGCAUUAGCUAGUUGGUGAGGUAACGGCUCACCAAGGCAACGAUGCGUAGCCGACCUGAGAGGGUGAUCGGCCACACUGGGACUGAGACACGGCCCAGACUCCUACGGGAGGCAGCAGUAGGGAAUCUUCCGCAAUGGACGAAAGUCUGACGGAGCAACGCCGCGUGAGUGAUGAAGGUUUUCGGAUCGUAAAGCUCUGUUGUUAGGGAAGAACAAGUACCGUUCGAAUAGGGCGGUACCUUGACGGUACCUAACCAGAAAGCCACGGCUAACUACGUGCCAGCAGCCGCGGUAAUACGUAGGUGGCAAGCGUUGUCCGGAAUUAUUGGGCGUAAAGGGCUCGCAGGCGGUUUCUUAAGUCUGAUGUGAAAGCCCCCGGCUCAACCGGGGAGGGUCAUUGGAAACUGGGGAACUUGAGUGCAGAAGAGGAGAGUGGAAUUCCACGUGUAGCGGUGAAAUGCGUAGAGAUGUGGAGGAACACCAGUGGCGAAGGCGACUCUCUGGUCUGUAACUGACGCUGAGGAGCGAAAGCGUGGGGAGCGAACAGGAUUAGAUACCCUGGUAGUCCACGCCGUAAACGAUGAGUGCUAAGUGUUAGGGGGUUUCCGCCCCUUAGUGCUGCAGCUAACGCAUUAAGCACUCCGCCUGGGGAGUACG